rnacentral:rRNA from 1 species
UACGGAGGGUGCGAGCGUUGUCCGGAAUCACUGGGCGUAAAGGGCGCGUAGGCGGCCUGAUAAGUAGGGGGUGAAAUCCUGCGGCUUAACCGCAGGGCUGCCUUCUAAACUGUCAGGCUCGAGCACAGUAGAGGCAGGUGGAAUUCCCGGUGUAGCGGUGGAAUGCGUAGAGAUCGGGAAGAACAUCAGUGGCGAAGGCGGUCCUCUGGGCCUUACCUGACGCUGAGGAGCGAAAGCGUGGGGAGCGAACAGG